AUACAGAAACACUCAAUCACAA
rnacentral:snRNA from 1 species